UCAUAACUACAUUCAGUCAGCUCAGGAUCUGGGCAAGGUUUUUUUGUUUUUUGUUUCCUGUCUUUUUUUUUUUUUUAAUCAGAAUGUUUAAUUGGAAGCAAUUGUUAAUAUAGUCUUUACAACAAUCCUAAAUCAGGCAGCCUUUUAGUAAAACGGACUAUUAAGUCACCUUCCCCAACAUACACACACUACACCACACACACACACACACACCACUCCACACAGAGGACUUUAGAAAGUUCGGGCCUCACUCAGCCUGUGACAGCGAGGCCUCCCAAUUGUCACCCAGACAAUAAACAGCCAGCUGACUUGGCUCAGCAGGUCCUAUGUGGCUUUGGGGCCACGCCAGAAACCUAGAACAAGCUACAUUCAGGUUAGAAGCCCAUGAGGGGGUGCUGAAGCCCGGGGGCUAUCGCACCCUUGGAUCCAGCCUGCUAAUGGGACUCAGGCUGGUGGCCAGCAGAGCUCAGCUGACCUGCAAGUGUGCGGCCCAGAGGCGGCCAGGCAGCCUGACCCCCGGCAGCACGGUCGUGCACGGGUCUGGAGGCUCCGAGCUGGAGAAGCGGGGCUGCAGCGCCCCAUCUUCCGUGCGUCUUUUCAAGACCACUGGCCAGCCCUAGGCAGCCACCGCCACUGCCUGCACGGCGCCCGCCGCUCCAGAACGCACACAGGCAACAAGUUCUCGCUUCCUCUGAGCCGCUGAGAUGUGCUCCGGAGGCCGGCGCGAGGGGAGCGCUUGCAGCCAGUCUGCGCCUCGAGGGGCGCCCGCUGCCCUGGCCACCUCCGGGGCUGAAAAGGUCAGAGCGGCAGAGGCUGCCCCGGGAGCGCCCCUUGCACAGGGACAGGGACGGUCGCGCAUCCCGGGCAUGGGCAACAGUCCAGAAUAUACAGAACAAGGUACAUUGACAGACAGAAGAACACCUGCUGACAGUUUGGUGCUAAGCUCUGGGAGGAAGGAUAGAGAUCCACAAUCAAUUUAUUAUUAUUAUUAUUAAGAGGAUCUUGUAUAUUCCAGGCUGGCCUUGAAGUCAUUCCAUUGCCUGAUUUGUCCUGGAAUGACAGGAUCUUGCUAUAUAAUUGAGGCUGGCUUUGAACUCAUUCUGUAUCACGAUGUAGUCCAACCUGGCCUUGAACUGGCGACAAUCCUCCUGCCUCAGCCUCCUGAGUGCUGGGAUUGCAGGUGUGUGCCACCAUGCCCCGCAGAUCAGCAUGCUUUGUGAUGGGUUCCUCUUUCCACCACUUUGCCUUUUCGGGACCUAAAGUUGUUCACCGCAUGAUGCCUGAUGGAGCCAUUCAGGACCAGCUCAGGAGACUGCACUUAGGAGGUUUGGAAUAUCUGCCUUCUUUUCUGAAGUUCCUCAUGUGGUUUGGGUACACAGACCUGGCUGAGAACCUUGGCCUAAGGUGAUCCUACACCUGCAACAUACUGUAUCAUCUGGAGAGUCCAGAAUACCUGGUGCUGGAGCCAGGCGUGAGCACUUCAAAAAGAUCUCCAAAUGUCUUCAGUGUGUAGCCAAGUUUGGAACCUCCGCCGUGUGAAUAGAGUUCCCAGAAGCGUUUCCCAAAGCAGAAAGUCGCUUGGAGCCCAGGACUGACCACAGCAUGGAGGUACAUACACCGUGCAGGAAGGGUAAAGAUCUGCCCAUGUGCACGGCUCCACUAGACCCUGGACCCAGCUCACCCUGUUCUCCAGUGCUGGCCUGGGCUCCCCAGCCCUCCGCCUCAGGAGAUGAGGCACCUACUAAGCCCCACUGCCCAGCCCCUUGUCUCCUGGGCAGCCCAGCCUUUGACUGUCUCCUCCAUUUGGAAGCCACUUUCCCUGCCUGGGGGCGAGCCCGGGACCCACCAGGGAGCACGUUGCCAUGAAGAUAGUGCAUACUGUUCCCCAGCCCAUUCCUGCCAGUGCCAAAGUCCUGUGAAAAAUCAGAAUUGACAGGGGGCUCUUCUGACAGCCCGGGCUUCUCCACAGGAAGAUGUAGGAGAUUUUUUCCUCUGUGUUGUGAGAAGGUUGGACAAACUGAGGAAGAAUGUCAACACAAACAGACCUUCCUCGGAUUAUUGAGAUACAUAAAGAAGCCUAUUUUCUUUUCUUUUCUUUUUUGUCUUUUUGAGACAGGGUCUCGCUAUGCAGUUCAGGCUGGCUUUGAGCUCACUUUGUAGCCCAGGCUGGUCUCGAAUUUGCAACGAUCCUCCUGCCUCAGCCUCCCAAAUGCUGGUGUACAGGCAUGCGCCACCACACUGUCUAAGAAAUCUUCUUUCUUAAGGAUGGGCUUAUCUACUGUCAUUGUCAUGAUGUUAGUUGAGAGGAAGACACGUGGGGAUGGCAGGAGAAAUAAUCCUUUUCCCCUGCAGAGUAUGAAG